ensembl:snoRNA SNORA21B small nucleolar RNA, H/ACA box 21B
ACUCUCCUCAGAACACUUCCUGGGUCUGACUGGUGGCCUGGGGAGCUGUCAGAGAAGAGCAGAGCAUACAGCCCUUACUGGUUGGGUGAGAAGG